rnacentral:rRNA from 1 species
CCAGACUCCUACGGGAGGCAGCAGUGGGGAAUAUUGCACAAUGGGGGAAACCCUGAUGCAGCGACGCCGCGUGAGUGAAGAAGUAUCUCGGUACGUAAAGCUCUAUCAGCAGGGAAGAAAAUGACGGUACCUGACCAAGAAGCCCCGGCUAACUACGUGCCAGCAGCCGCGGUAAUACGUAGGGGGCAAGCGUUAUCCGGAUUUACUGGGUGUAAAGGGAGCGUAGACGGCAGUGCAAGUCCGGAGUGAAAGCCCGGGGCUCAACCCUGGGACUGCUCUGGAAACUGUAAAGCUGGAGUGCGGGAGGGGCAGGCGGAAUUCCUGGUGUAGCGGUGAAAUGCGUAGAUAUCAGGAGGAACACCGGCGGCGAAGGCGGCCUGCUGGACCGUAACUGACGUUGAGGCUCGAAAGCGUGGGGAGCAAACAGGACUAGAUACCCCCGUAGGU